CCUACGGGAGGCAGCAGUAGGGAAUCUUGCGCAAUGGGCGAAAGCCUGACGCAGCCAUGCCGCGUGAAUGAUGAAGGUCUUAGGAUUGUAAAAUUCUUUCACCGGGGACGAUAAUGACGGUACCCGGAGAAGAAGCCCCGGCUAACUUCGUGCCAGCAGCCGCGGUAAUACGAAGGGGGGCUAGUGUUGCUCGGAAUUACUGGGCGUAAAGGGAGCGUAGGCGGAUAGUUUAGUCAGAGGUGAAAGCCCAGGGCUCAACCUUGGAACUGCCUUUGAUACUGGCUAUCUUGAGUACGGGAGAGGUGAGUGGAACUCCGAGUGUAGAGGUGAAAUUCGUAGAUAUUCGGAAGAACACCAGUGGCGAAGGCGACUCACUGGCCCGUUACUGACGCUGAGGCUCGAAAGCGUGGGGAGCAAACAGGAUUAGAUACCCGUGGUAGUCCACGCUGUAAACGAUGAGUGCUAGUUGUCGGCAUGCAUGCAUGUCGGUGACGCAGCUAACGCAUUAAGCACUCCGCCNGGGGAGUACGGUCGCAAGAUUAAACUCAAAGGAAUUGACGG
rnacentral:rRNA from 1 species